GACGAACGCUGGCGGCGUGCUUAACACAUGCAAGUCGAACGGAGCGAAUGAAAGCUUGCUUUUAUGAGCUUAGUGGCAAACGGGUGAGUAACACGUAGACAACCUGCCGACAGGAUGGGGACAACAUUCCGAAAGGAAUGCUAAUACCGAAUGAAGUGCAGGGGAGGCAUCUCCCCUGCAUGAAAGAUGGCCUCUUUUUAUGCUAUCACCUGUUGAUGGGUCUGCGUCUGAUUAGCUGGUAGGUGUGGUAACGGCUCACCUAGGCGACGAUCAGUAGCCGGUCUGAGAGGAUGAACGGCCACAUUGGGACUGAGACACGGCCCAGACUCCUACGGGAGGCAGCAGUGGGGAAUCUUCCGCAAUGGGCGCAAGCCUGACGGAGCAACGCCGCGUGAGUGGAGAAGGUCUUCGGAUCGUAAAGCUCUGUUGAUGGGGACGAACGUGCCUAAUGCGAAUAGUUUUAGGCAAUGACG
rnacentral:rRNA from 1 species